rnacentral:rRNA from 1 species
AUUGAACGCUGGCGGCAGGCCUAACACAUGCAAGUCGAGCGCGCGGGGGACGGGUGAGAAAUAUGUGGGGAUCUGCGUGAUGGGGGGGGAUAAAUACUGGAAACGGUCUCUAAUACCGCAUACUAUCAUAUGCCCCCAUAUGGGAUUAGCUUGUAGGUGAGGUAAUGGCUCACCUAGGCGACGAUCCCUAGCUGGUCUGAGAGGAUGAUCAGCCACACUGGGACUGAGACACGGCCCAGACUCCUACGGGAGGCAGCAGUGGGGAAUAUUGCACAAUGGGCGCAAGCCUGAUGCAGCCAUGCCGCGUGUAUGAAGAAGGCCUUCGGGUUGUAAAGUACUUUCAGUCGGGAGGCGUUACCGACAGAAGAAGCACCGGCUAACUCCGUGCCAGCCGCCGCGGUAAUAC